AUAUUCAUGUAUGUUGUUUUUAAUAAUAAAAAAUUCCCAAGGCAUAUAAGUAUAACAGGAAUUGAUUGUCUUCUUGCACACAUGUAAUACAUGUAGGCGUAGGAAUUUUAGCACCAAAAAUUAGGUUGUAAAGUGAACUGAAAUUUGUACUGUGAACAUUGUAUUUUUUUUAAGGAUCUUUAAGAGAACAAAGAUUUGCAUAAUUUUGUAUUUUUUAAAUUAAUUUUCAUGUAGGUGGAAUGGCUAUACAAACGUAAUCGUAUUUCGACUUUUGUACCAAAUUUUUUAUAGCCGUAGUCCUAAUGACAAGAUUUCUUUUUACUUACAUAUAUUCAAACAAAAUUUCUUUUUACUUACAUAUAUUCAAACAAAAUUAUGUUUUCUUUUACUCAUUUCCUGGAGUGAGGUCCUACACUUAGAGUUUCGCUGGCAUUGACAAAAGGACACAGGUUUCCUAAAAUGGGUUUUUCCUGGUUGGCCACGGAACAUUGAAAUGUAGUUAUUCAGUUUUUCAAAUGCAAAAGGUUGACAUGAGAUUAUUUUUCUAGUAUAAGUUAUUGAAUUCAUAUUGUAUAAUGUAUAGUGUGUAAUUUGUCUUAUUAAAUCGGCAGCUCACAAUAUGCAGUACUCGAGCUAGUCAAAAAACAUAA